AUUGAACGCUGGCGGCAUGCCUUACACAUGCAAGUCGAACGGUAACAGGUCUUCGGAUGCUGACGAGUGGCGAACGGGUGAGUAAUACAUCGGAACGUGCCUAGUAGUGGGGGAUAACUUCUCGAAAGAGUGGCUAAUACCGCAUGAGAUCUACGGAUGAAAGCAGGGGAUCGCAAGACCUUGUGCUACUAGAGCGGCCGAUGGCAGAUUAGGUAGUUGGUGGGAUAAAAGCUUACCAAGCCGACGAUCUGUAGCUGGUCUGAGAGGACGAUCAGCCACACUGGGACUGAGACACGGCCCAGACUCCGACGGGAGGCAGCAGUGGGGAAUUUUGGAAAAUGGGCGAAAGCCUGAUCCAGCAAUGCCGCGUGCAGGAUGAAGGCCUUCGGGUUGUAAACUGCUUUUGCACGGAACGAAAAGCCCCGGGUUAAUACCCUGGGGUCAUGACGGUACCGUAAGAAUAAGCACCGGCUAACUACGUGCCAGCCGCCGCGGUAA
rnacentral:rRNA from 1 species